ACUGCUCAGUAACACGUAGUCAACAUGCCCAGGGGACGUGGAUAACCUCGGGAAACUGAGGAUAAACCGCGAUAGGCCAUAAUUCCUGGAAUGGUUUAUGACUGAAACCUAUAUGGCCCCUGGAUUGGACUGCGGCCGAUCAGGCUGUUGGUGAGGUAAUGGCCCACCAAACCUGUAACCGGUACGGGCUCUGAGAGGAGAAGCCCGGAGAUGGGCACUGAGACAAGGGCCCAGGCCCUAUGGGGCGCAGCAGGCGCGAAACCUCUGCAAUAGGCGAAAGCCUGACAGGGUUACUCUGAGUGGUUCCCG
rnacentral:rRNA from 1 species